rnacentral:rRNA from 1 species
AUGGGCGACAAGACCUGAUCCAGCCAUGCCGCGUGAGUGAUGAAGGCCCUAGGGUUGUAAAGCUCUUUUGUACGGGAAAGAUAAUGACGGUACCGUAAGAAUAAGCCCCGGCUAACUUCGUGCCAGCAGCCGCGGUAAUACGAAGGGAGCUAGCGUUGCUCGGAAUCACUGGGCGUAAAGGGUGCGUAGGCGGGUUUUUAAGUCAGAGGUGAAAUCCUGGAGCUCAACUCCAGAACUGCCUUUGAUACUGAAAGUCUUGAGUAUGGGAGAGGUGAGUGGAACUGCGAGUGUAGAGGUGAAAUUCGUAGAUAUUCGCAAGAACACCAGUGGCGAAGGCGGCUCACUGGACCCAUUACUGACGCUGAGGCACGAAAGCGUGGGGAGCAAACAGGAUUAGAUACCCGUGGUAGUCCACGCCGUAAACGAUGAUAUGCCAGCCGUUAGUGUUGUUUACUCACUAGUGGCGCAGCUAACGCUUUAAGCAUUCCGCCUGGGGAG